UCGGCCUCCACUCUUUUGAAGGUUGUUCGACGCUCGUUGGGAACUUACUACCGUAAUGAACAAAGUGAGGAGAGGGUGUUACUUUGUGGACGUAACAUUCGUCGCUAAAUCCAAAUUUGAAUUUUGCGCUGUACCUGUGAAAGGCAUGCACGCGGUGCUUUUCGUUCGGUUGACAACAUCUAACGUAUACUGUGCUUGACGUGCGCUACCUACUGUGCUGGAGUACUGUGUAGGUCGCAUCAAACUUGAGUCAUCAGCUAGAACAUGCUCACGUGGCGACCAUGUUGGAGAGGUCACCGUUUCCGUUGAAGUUUACCACACACUGCCAUAGACGAAAGAGCAGAAGAAUGGGAACUACAAAAGUGUUUUAACAUACAUCGACGCCACUGAUGUUCCAAGUAAGUAUAAAUUGGCUGAUGAAUUGGUUGCAGGAUUUGAGUUCUCAGGUUAGUGGUGUACAACCGACAAAAAUGUAGACAGAAUCAACUGCAUUCAUUAAAGAAAAAAAAUUGAGCAGUUGGACACAAGGAGGGUUUGAAGUUGUGCACGAGCAGUUAUCUGCUACUUCAUUUAUGGCAUUCUAAGCCAGAGUCGCUGUUGACAUGUUGGCUGAGAGAGGGGAACUCUGUGCUAUGUUCAAAGAACAAUGUCGCACACUUCUCGCCAAACAUUACAGCUGUGAAGAAGUCACACACCAACAUCAUAAGAGAGUCUCCGAACCCUUAAUGGUAAAAUGUCAAAAAUAUUUUGGUGUUGACGCUUCCAUGUGGCACUCCUGGAUGCGUGCCUUUGGAAAAUACAAAGCCGUGGUGUCUUCAAUUUGGUUUAAGUCACUGUUUUUGCAGCAAUAUUGACAUUGUGUGGAUGCUGUUGUAUUUUGUCUAUGUGCUCUCAUUUGUAAAACUUAUUAACACUGUUUUCCACAAAGGAACAGGUGGUGGCGAUGUAUCCUUUAUUGAUGAAGAAUGUUGAUGGAGUGACAGUGAUGACGAGUUUCCAUUAAACUUGUCUGACUUGUUUCUAGAUCCAGAUUAUGAGUAAAAACAUUUUUACCCUCUGUGUAUGUGUAUUUGUUUUAAGAAAAAAAAAAGAUUUUAGUACUAAAUGACAGAGAAUGAUGACUGAUAAUAGAGAUAAUUGAGAAUUUGUGCAAAUACAUAAUAAACAGGAGGGAAAUAUUAGAUUUAUUAUUUUAUCAUGCAUUUGUUUAUAUUAUCCUUGCCCGAAUCAAUCUCCUUCCGAGCAGCUGUGUGACCCGAAGUAUAACCCAGCGACGCCCUGAGGAGUUAUGCACCCCUUUGCUGAGCAGAUAUUCGUCAACACCAUUGUUAUAAAUGUCUCUUUAGUAUUCACCUCUGUAUUGUCAUUCUCCAUUAUGUCUCCUUAGUAUUCGUCUCCGUACUGGCAUUCACCAUUGUUAUGUUUAUCUGAGUAUCUGUCUUUGUGUUGGUAAUGUCAUCUGUUCCUCCAUUUGUUUUUUGAUCUUGUGACCUUUUGUUUUGAGAAACUAAUAAAAAAGGGGACACUGGUAAGACUGACUGAGAGCGGGUGUUGGCGUUGCAGCUGGUCAGUCAAACCCGUUUCUCCUCAAGAGCAAA